CGGAUGGGAGCCGAAACGUCUUGAUUCUGAAAACAGCGUCCAGAUGACUACGACUGAAACCUUUUCUACGUCAUCUAACUAUAUUAACAUUAAUGUAAUUGUGCAAAUUUCAGGAGAAAGGAGAGCAGAGUGAGCGGCAGAUUAGACGAAUCUGAUGGAGGGAAAGAAAAGGACGCACGACCCCGAUGCCUGCUGCGAAUCCAGAUGGACGUCUCGAUUCCCAGCGCUUGUGCAGCUCUAGACACGCAGUCGUAGCAGAGACUGGAGCUACUACCGGGGACAGACAUAACAACUGACGCUGGAGGGACACAAAAUGACUCCUCAAACCAACAAGAGGGGGGCAUCAGAGUCCGGAGGUCCGGCUUACGGCUCAUGCUCAUUGGAGGAGGACUCUUAUCCUGCAUGUUUUUGGAAACGCCUCCGGGGGACAGCAGCCCGGGGGAGGUGCAGUGGUUGCUGUAGCUGCCGUUUCCUGGUGAGAAACACAGGUGGAGGUUUGUUUAAAUGUAGUUUUCAUUAUAACGCACCACAGAUUUACCUCUGGACCUCAGUGAAGAGAGCCGAUCCAGCUGUCAGCGUUUCUAAACUAUUUAUUUUGUUGGAAUAUUAGUAUGCAUUGCGAUCAACAGUGUUAUCUGUUUUAGGGUUUUAUUUUAUCCAUUUAUCUAUUUUUUGUAAAAAGCUAUCAUAUAUAUUGCUGUUAUUUUAUCAAUCUUAUAUCCUUUUCGUUCUUUUGUGUCUUGUGUUGAUUAUUUUGUCUUCAUAUUAUAAGUUUCAUGUUUUGUAUUGCUGCUUUCAUUAUCCAUUAAUUGUUGAUUAUUUUCUCGAUUAAUCGUUUGGUCUAUAAAAUGUCAGACGACGUCUUCAAAUUACUUGUGUUACUACGGCUCGAAAGAUGUUCAGUUUGCUAUCAAAACCAAAGAAAAUCAGCAAAAUCCUCACAACUGAGAAGCUCAGACAAGGAAAAGUUUGGCGUCUUUGCUAAAUGAUUAAUCGCUUAUCAAAAUAGUUGCAGAUGAAUCAUUUUGGCUCUACUGAUUUAAUCUGAAUUUAAUCCGUUCUUACUGGUUAACAAAGCUGGUCAAGGACGUUUAUAGUGAAAGAAUCAUCAGUAAGGCUCAACUGACUCUUUACUGUCCUGACGAGCCACUGAAAAGCUAAAUCCUACAGUGAGGUAAUACAGAGACCUGCACUUUGUUUGGCGUCGGUCUUAAUCUUCCGUUUUAUUUAUUUUUUUAAAAACAAUUGUUCCCAUCUUUGGCUUGAACUGCUGCUGUUUU